rnacentral:rRNA from 1 species
UACGAAGGGGGCUAGCGUUGCUCGGAAUGACUGGGCGUAAAGGGCGCGUAGGCGGAUGGCUUUGUCGGGCGUGAAAUUCCAGGGCUUAACCUUGGGGCUGCGUUCGAGACGGGUUGUCUUGAGUGGGGAAGAGGGUCGUGGAAUUCCCAGUGUAGAGGUGAAAUUCGUAGAUAUUGGGAAGAAACACCGGUGGCGAAGGCGGCGACC